GAUGAACGCUAGCGGCAGGCCUAACACAUGCAAGUCGAGGGGUAACAUUACUGCUUGCAGUAGAUGACGACCGGCGCACGGGUGCGUAACGCGUAUGAAACCUACCUGUUAUUAGAGGAUAGCCUUUAGAAAUGAAGAUUAAUACUCUAUAGUAUAACACAAACGCAUGUUUGAGUUAUUAAAGAUUACGAUAACAGAUGGUCAUGCGUCUUAUUAGCUAGUUGGUAGAGUAACGGUUUACCAAGGCAACGAUAAGUAGGGGUCCUGAGAGGGAGAUCCCCCACACUGGUACUGAGACACGGA
rnacentral:rRNA from 1 species